rnacentral:rRNA from 1 species
UACAGAGGGUGCGAGCGUUAAUCGGAAUUACUGGGCGUAAAGCGUGCGUAGACGGUAGCGUAAGUCGGGUGUGAAAGCCCCGGGCUCAACCUGGGAAUUGCAUUCGAGACUGCUCUGCUAGGGUGCGGAAGAGGGAAGCGGAAUUUCCGGUGUAGCGGUGAAAUGCGUAGAUAUCGGAAGGAACACCAGUGGCGAAAGCGGCUUCCUGAUCCAGCACCGACGUUCAGGCACGAAAGCGUGGGGAGCAAACAGG